CCCUUAGAUGUUCUGGGCCGCACGCGCGCUACACUGAUGCAUUCAACGAGCCUAUCCUUGACCGACAGGUCCGGGUAAUCUUUGAAUCUGCAUCGUGACGGGGAUAGAUUAUUGCAAUUAUUAAUCUUCAACGAGGAAUGCCUAGUAGGCGCAAGUCAUCAGCUUGCGUCGAUUACGUCCCUGCCCUUUGUACACACCGCCCGUCGCUCCUACCGAUUGGGUGUGCUGGUGAAAUGUUCGGAUCGGCCGUUUGUCGCGGUUUCCGGGUCAUGUGGCUGAGAAGUUCAUUAAACCCUCCCACCUAGAGGAAGGAGAAGUCGUAACA
rnacentral:rRNA from 1 species